ACCUGGCUGGCUUAGUAGGUAGAACAUGGGACUCCUGAUCUCAGGGUUGUGAGUUCGAGUCCCAUACUGGGUC
rnacentral:tRNA from 1 species